rnacentral:misc_RNA from 1 species
AAGACUAUAGACCUGCGGAGUACCUGCGGAAGGAUCAUUAAAAAUCUAAACUGUUUAUAAUUUUGAAAAAAAUUAUGAACUAUUCAACCUUGAUUCACAUGAGUUGAGUGAAUCAAAAAACCUUUUAAACUUGUUUUUGAAAUUCUGAAUUUUUAAAUUUUCAAAUGAAAAUUAUAAAACUUUUAGCAAUGGAUCUCU